UGGUCUUUUUCAAUGAGGUGGAUUGCGCAUCGACGUGGAUAGCUUGUGCGUCUUAAGUGAACCGUAUCCAAAGAAAAUGCCGGCCAACUCUACCGACUGUCACGAGACUCUCACCUUGGAGUCGGGACUCCCAACCAUGUCGGCGGUGAUGUUCGCCCUCGGUGUGGCGGGAAACUUCGUCGCGCUCGCGCUGCUGGAGACGCGGCGUCGGACGAAUUCUCCGUCGCUGUUCCGCAUCCUCGUCACGGCGCUCAUCACCACGGACCUGUUGGGCACGAUCGCGGUCACCCCCUUUGUGCUCGUCGCGUACGCCAAGAACACCACGCUGGUGGCACAGGGUGACCGCGGCGUCCUGUGCUCUUACUUCGGGUUCAGCAUGACGUUUCUGAGCCUCUCCACGCUCUCGAUCUUGUGCGCCAUGGCGCUGGAGCGCUUCAUCGCGCUGGGGUUCCCCUACUUCUACGACAGACACAUCACGAGCACGCGCUGCGGCUACGUCGCGAUUGCGCUCAUCUACCUGGCGUGCGUGCUCUUCUGUGCCUGCCCGUUAAUGGGGUUUGGAAAGUACGUGCAGUAUUGCCCCGGGACGUGGUGCUUCCUGGACAUGAGCCCGCACAGCGAUUCGGAUAAAAUCUACACCGCGUUUUACGCCUGCUUUACGCUCAUUGUCAUAAUGUGCACCUCGGUUUGCAACCUGUCCGUCAUUCACUUUCUGGUUAAAAUGCACCGGCGGCGGAACACACACCACCGGGCCGGACGCUCGCUGAGCAGAAGGUUUUUCCGCAGGUCGCUGUCCAUGAUGGAGGAAGUCGAGCAUAUUCUGCCUCUGAUUUUUAUAACGGUGGCCUUCUCAAUCUGUUCUUUUCCAAUACUGGUAAAUUUUUUUUUCGCUAAAACCCGAAUUACGCACGCAUUACGCAUUCCAUUUUUAACGUUUUUCUUCGUCCUCGGCCUGUCUCUCCCUCAUCCCAUCAUUCCUGUCCGUCCUACUGCUGCGGGUGUUCAUCAACUUCAUCGGCAGGACGGAGGAGCAGCAGGCCAGCGACCUGCACGCCCUGCGCAUGCUCUCCUUCAACUCCAUCAUCGACCCCUGGGUCUUCAUCUUCCUCGAGCCCUCCGUGCUCAAGUUCGUCUGGAGGAACCUGUGCCGCCGCCAGGGGAAACCACACAACCCUAAGUCUCCGGUUCAGCCCAGAUUGCAGAUAACGACCACCACCACCACCACUAUCUCCAGCCCCACAACUACGGGGGAAACGACGCUACGAGGAACUGGUUCACCACAGCGUCGUCUCAGGAUCAUCGAUGACCUGACCAUAUAGUGUGGAAGAGAAGGAGGACAAAUGCAGAGGAUACAAUACGAUGUAGGUCACCGUAUGGAAAUAAAUCGGUGUUAUCGGAUUCUGAAAAUAAAAAUCCAUUGAAUUCUAAGCACUGAAUUUUUAUGCAUUGAAAUAAUGUAUCUGGAUUUUUUGCCUCUGAAUUUAACUCAAUAAAUCAUAUUCAGCUUUAUUUUUCAAUGUUAAAAACUCAAAAUCAAAUAUUCAACGUAAAUAUUUGCAACGUCCCCAAAUUCAACAUGCCAAAUUCAGCUGCAAAAUUCAAUGUCAGAAAAUUCAGUGUUAAAAUCCGGGGACCCAAGGAAGAGCAAUCGAUCCUAGAUACUAGAUCGUGGUCAAGCAAGGAUACCGGGAAUAAGAGCGUCACUCACUGGUUCAUUCUUUCUUGAUACAAACGUUAAUUCUAAACAGCAUUCUACACAGUAGCCUAUAAUAGGAAAAAUGCUCAAAGGUAAAUCAACGUCAUUAAACACUGACUGUAGGUUUUUAUGGGGAGAGAAGCUACCGAACAGUGUGACCUUAUGGGGCACUGUUGCACAUUUUCUGAAACAUGCACGAGUUUGAAGCAUAGACAGGCAUGAAGUCGUUCACCUGCGGAAACAUGCCCAAGCUUAAAACUUAACGUUUGUAUCGUCAUCGAUCACUCGGAUUGGGGGUAUUCUUUUUGUGACACCGGAUGCACGUUAAGUGGCUGGAGCAAAACGGUUGAUAUGCCUCUGUGGUGGCAUAACGAGCGCGCAGAGCCAACACUAUUCCGCACCGAGUGACAUGAUACAGAUAUGAGGAUGACAAAUUACUGUCGGGUGCCUCUUUCCGAGGCACGCCGUGCUUCCACUGGAACUACAGGCUGCUGAUGCUUCAAUUGCGCAAUACUGUUGGCUCUGCGCUCUCGUUCCAACGUGGGCAGCGGGCUUCAGCAUCACAUCGUAGAUCGCCCCAGCAACACAUCAAACGUAGGCCAAGUGACCUCGGCGGAUUGCCCCAAAUUGGUGCCCUAAUAAAUUGGGCUCCUUGACCCACUACAAUUACUCUCACGUUGCAUGUAAAUCCAGCUAAGUCCCUGAUUUGAGCAUUUCCUAUCAUAGGCUACUGUGUAAAAUGCUGUUUAGAAUUGACGUUUGUAUCAAAAAAGAAGAAUCGAGUGACGCUCUUAUUCCCGCUCUCCUUGCUUGACUGCGAUCUAGCAUCUAGGAUCGAUCGCUCUUCCUUGGGUCCCCGGAUGUUAACGCUGAAUAUUCCGACGUUGAAUUUUGCAUGUUGAAUUUGGGGACGUUGAAAAUAUUUCCGUUGAAUUUUUUUAAGUUGAGUAUUUGAUUUUGAAUUUUUAACACUGAAAAAUAAAACUGAAUAGGAUUUAUUGAAAAUUGUAAGAGUUAAAUUCAAAUCCAGAUACUUUAUUUCAAUGCAUAAAUAUUCCGUGCUUAGAAUUCAAUGGCUUUUUAUUUUUAAAAUCCGAUGGCACAGAUUUACUUCCAUAUCACCGUCUACUUGUUUGAAGAAAGAUAUGAUCAUGUUUUAAGUGAACUGAUAUUUAACAAGGCAACUCUACUAAAGAUAAAACACAGGUAAUUUAUACAUCAGCAUUUAAGACCAGACAAAGGAAAGCUCAGUGUUUAUUCAAUUGAUACAUAGUUUGUCCAGAAAUUGUUCAGGACCUGCGUUGUUUCCUCUGCUAUAUCGCAAAAUAAGAAAAUAAACAUUAUUGUUGGACUCUUGAAGGGAAACCAAACCGUUUAACUAAAACUAAGCUGUCCUAAGAUUUUUUUUAAAUAAAACAUAAAACCCCACAAAUAAAGUCUGACUAAUGAUGAGGAUGAAGAUUUUGAUAAUGAUUCUAAUAGUUAGCAUGCCUUAAUAUGAUGAUAUAACUAAUAAUAUGUAUACCAAAGAGGCAAAAUCAGAGACAACAUAUGUACGGUAUAAAUAUAUUCCUUCCAAUGUUAGGGUUCCAACAUUUUUUACUGAAUUAGGGUCGAAGGGUUUAUGGAUGUAAUGAAGCAGAGGUUGCUGACCUCGG